CGAUUGCAUAUCAAUAAGCGGAGGAAAAGAAACCAACAGGGAUUGCCUUAGUAGCGGCGAGUGAAGCGGCAAAAGCUCAAAUUUGAAAUCUGGCUCUUUCAGAGUCCGAGUUGUAAUUUGAAGAAGGUAUCUUUGGGUCUGGCUCUUGUCUAUGUUUCUUGGAACAGAACGUCACAGAGGGUGAGAAUCCCGUGCGAUGAGAUGAUCCAGGCCUAUGUAAAGUUCCUUCGAAGAGUCGAGUUGUUUGGGAAUGCAGCUCUAAGUGGGUGGUAAAUUCCAUCUAAAGCUAAAUAUUGGCGAGAGACCGAUAGCGAACAAGUACAGUGAUGGAAAGAUGAAAAGAACUUUGAAAAGAGAGUGAAAAAGUACGUGAAAUUGUUGAAAGGGAAGGGCUUGAGAUCAGACUUGGUAUUUUGUAUGUUACUUCUUCGGGGGUGGCCUCUACAGUUUAUCGGGCCAGCAUCAGUUUGGGCGGUAGGAGAAUUGCGUUGGAAUGUGGCACGGCUUCGGUUGUGUGUUAUAGCCUUCGUCGAUACUGCCAGCCUAGACUGAGGACUGCGGUUUAUACCUAGGAUGUUGGCAUAAUGAUCUUAAGUCGCCCGUCUUGAAACACGGACCAAU
rnacentral:rRNA from 1 species